rnacentral:lncRNA from 1 species
AUGUUGUAUGUCCUCUGGGGUCGCAAUCAAAAAAGGCCAACAGAAUUCCAUGGACUCACACCAAGAAUAGUAAGAAGCAUACUGCAUUGCUCCUGGAGUUGGAGGAACUUGACUGGACUUUUUCCAUGUGCAACUGUAAAGAAUCAGGUUUGGCCUCUGCUUCCCAAGUACCCUUUGUUUGGGAUCUGUCUGAAUCCUCUCUCCUCCUUGUCAAGAAGACCACAUCCCAUUUCAUGGGGAAAGAUGUCUCCAUAUUCAACACAGAGAUGUACCACCCAGAUCCUUCUCCAAGGAAAGAUUUGUUACCCAGGGGUGAGGAGUGCAAUCAGCAGGCAGCCUCCAGCUCUCAGAGCUUCCAGGGUCUGCCUGAAGUGUAGAGAGCAGCCUUGUAGGGGGUCAUGUCCUUCUGGGGCAGCCCACAUCCAAUGGCUGAGGGAGACAAUGGUCUAA